GAUGAACGCUGGCGGCGUGCCUAAUACAUGCAAGUCGAGCGAACAGACGAGGAGCUUGCUCCUCUCACGUUAGCGGCGGACGGGUGAGUAACACGUGGAUAACCUACCUAUAAGACUGGGAUAACUUCGGGAAACCGGAGCUAAUACCGGAUAAUAUAUUGAACCGCAUGGUUCAAUAGUGAAAGACGGUUUUGCUGUCACUUAUAGAUGGAUCCGCGCCGCAUUAGCUAGUUGGUAAGGUAACGGCUUACCAAGGGAACGAUGCGUAGCCGAACUGAGAGGCGGAUAGGCCACACUGGAACUGAGACACGGUCCAGGCUCCUACGGGAGGCAGCAGUAGGGAACCUGCCGCAAAGGUCGAAAGCCUGACGGAGCAAGGCCGCGUGAGUGAUAAAGGUCUUCGGAUCGUAAUACUCUGUUAUUAGGGAAGAACAAAUGUGUAAGUAACUAUGCACGUCUUGACGGUACCUAAUCAGAAAGCCACGGCUAACUACGUG
rnacentral:rRNA from 1 species